CCCCCUGCUCCUCCGCCGUUCCCUCCUCCUUCCACCCCCAGUUCCACCUGCUUCCGAGCCAGAGCAAAGACUCGACGACGCGGAGCAAAGACUCCCAGACCCAACGCACCCAACGCGAUCCCCUUCUCUCGCCGGCGCCGCCCCGUAUCCACCCUGCUCCGGCCCGCAUCUCCUCCGGCGACGCGGCCGGCUGGCUUGCCGACGCCCGCGUGCAUCAAUGCGCGCGGCGUCGUCGAGCUGGCCGGACCGGCUCGCACAUCUCGGCCGUGGGCAUUCGGAGGAGCUCCACGCGCUGCGGCGGCGUCGCGGAGCACGGAGAGACGUCGUCCACGACGCGCUCCGAGGAACCAGUGGAGGAGGUGGCGCCCGCCGAUUCCGCCGCCGCUCCUCACCAGAAUCCUCCGCUGCUCAAGUGCCCGGCGGCCGGCGUCUUUGCAAGAGGCCGUGGUCGCGCAGGAUCUGCAGAGGACGUAUGCAGGAGGCGUCCCCCGAGCUACCGUCCAAAGGACGUUGCCCCGAAGCCCCACCACUGCUACCUCGCUGCCGCUGGUCAGGACCUUGUCAACACCUAAAGCACAGGGAGGACUGGAUGUGUUGCACAAGUUCCUGGAGCAUUACGUCCGCCGGUCCAGCGUCUUCUUGUACUCUGUCACCGCCGUCGUCUUCAAGGUCCUGCUCUUGUUCUGAUUCCUCUUGCGUGGCUUUUGAACUCAUGUUCGUCUUCUCUGCAGAUUUUGUUUCAGGAAUAAAUAGCUCCCUGUUCUUGCUUAUGUGUAAAUCUAAUGCUGGGUGAGAAACAAACAGAAUAUAGUUGUGUUUUGUCUACCAUGUGUAAAUUUAAUGCGACAAACUGCAAUAAUGAUUUCUAGAACUUGUUAUCUGUUUGCUAGUUAUUGUGUGUAGCGUGAGUUUUUUUCGAAACAUUGGUAGCACAUGUUGACAUGUUGUGGAUAGUCAGUCGAUGAGAGCAUUUGUUAGCAGAUCCUUCUAUAUUUAGUGUCCAUGUGUAUUAUUGGUUAAUUGAUUAAACUACUAGUGUCCAGCCUCUAUAAGUAAAUCUGUUGCUCCUUUUUUUUAAUCAGUUCGGAUUAUCAUACAUAUGAAUGUAAUGUUCUUGUUAAAAAUCCUCUACUGCAGAUUUCUAAUAUUUUUUGUACUUCACUUUUUAUGUCACCCUAUCGCCAUGAAUAUGUAUUGAUUUAUGCUUCUGUGCAUAUUUGUAUGUAUGCGGCCCUGGAAGUGGCCACAACUUGCUGGAGAUGUAGCUGCUCGCCCACAUGGCAAACCGUAGCGACCUUGUGAUCAAAGGUUCAGAUUGAUGGUGAACAGAGUGGUUAAAUGACUGAAUGCUCAAACGUUUGUUGAGGCUUGAAAGCUUUUAUUCUAGAUUAGAUAUUGAGGUCCUUGAUCAACUUGGGAGCUAUCAUUUGACGCAAUCAUGCGCAGACGCAGAUGAUUACAUGUCCAGGAGCUUAACUCCGUGGCUACCUCGCCGCCACCGUCCAGUAGUUCAUCAAUAUUAGCACCAAAAGACAUGUAGGUACUACUGAAACUUACCCCUUGUAGCAGUAAUAACAUGGUAGAUUACAGGGAGCUCGUGAAACCUGGCUUCCGAGUUAUCGCCAGGAGCAAGGAGAUGGUGCCAUUGAGUGUGUGUAUGGUCCCCAGCUGAUGAGGAAUUUGUGAUGCUGCAAUAUUUUGCUUUGUAAUCUUGUGAUGGAGCUGAUUUGUGUAUUUUGCUGAUCUAAGGAUCGAUGCGUUUGUGGUAUUCAUUAUUAUUACUCACUUUGUCUGUAAAAGCAUGUCUUGACUUUGUCUAAA